ACUUCUUCUUCUCGAGUGUACCUGUCUGUCUCUGUCUUUCUCUCCAGUUCUUUCUACUACCCCCCCUCCCUGUUUUCAUUUACUCACUGCAGUCCUAAAGUCUAAUUCUCUCUUCUCUUCCAUUUCUCUCAUCUUUGACUUCGCUCACCUCUUCCUCUCUUUUUCUCCUUUCCCAAAGUAAGCUUCCUUUCCUUCGGCUCCAUCCUUUCCUUCUCUUUCCCCCUCUUACUUUUUGCUAUCUUUCACACGGGAUGCCACUUACUACGUCUCUUUCGCUUUGCUAGAGUUUAAUCCUGUUUUUUGCGCUUCUUGUCUGAAGGAGCAACUUUUUGGUUGUCCAUGGAAAAGUUUCCUGUGUCUUGGCAACACUCAGCCUGGAGCCCACACAUGCUCACUCUGCUGGACGGACGCACAAACACCAUUUUGUCUACAGGUUCGCAGCCUUGACUCUGCCUUGGCUGACAUCAGCAGUCAUGUGGUACAAGCUGGUGGAUUAUGUGACAAAUGAUCAUCGUAACAUCUUCAACCACUGCCACUGCUUGGUCUGCUGUCUUUUUGUCAGUGCCAUACGUCACAGCAGUUCAAAGUGAAGCCUCUCUUUGUGGCCAGAACAGACGAGCAGGAAGUCAGCCACAGAAAGUAGCUGACACUGUUUCUUCAUCAACCUGCAUAAAUACUGAAUGCUCAACUUUGUCCAUACUAAGAGUGAGCAUUAGUCAUCACAGACACUCGCAGUCAAUCUCUGGGCGGCAGCAUACCGCAGCUCAUGCAUAAGGAAGCAGGUAGCAGACCUGAGCAUACAUCGUGUGGACGAGACAAGAUUUCCUGCAUUGAGAAAGAAGCUGUGAAAAUACCCUCAAUCUUAUAGGUUCAACACAGUUUCUAGUAAUCUAUUUAGGAGUUAUUGUUCCUACUGCAGAGGUGGAUGUUGAACACUUUACGUAGUUAAAAAAUGAAAGAGGGCAGGACUGAACAGCCCGUACACGUAUAUACCGGUCUUUGCACAUAUGCGUAUAAAAGAAAAAAGACUGCUGGUCUUCAGAAUACGAUGAAGAUGACAAAUCUUUUUUAACGUUGUCUCCCACUAAUUGAAAAAGUGUCCACUCACUCAGGGGUUCCCAUGUUCAGAAUGAAAAAUAAGACCUCCCGAAGCGAUCUUAAAGCGUUUGAUGCAUUUUAUGUUCGGUGGAAGGUGUACGAGGAUAUACAAUUGGUUCUGGUAAGGGAACGAGACAAAACACACAAAUCAAACACUGCAGAGCUGCUGUUUGUAUGCUGUGUGGGACCAAGCACCAGAUGUCAACAACAGCCGCAGCAAAGUGCAGUAAUUGGGAAGACUAUAAGAAGCCUUUUAAAGAGUUACUAACUAGUGGCGUGUGAGCAACAGCAGUAAUGCCUCCAGUCUCAUAAUGUGAUUUAUGAAAUGAGUCAAAGCAGUCUUAUUAUCAUGGUGUUUCCUACACUGCUGUUAAUAUCGCCUCGAGCUGACUUGUUUCUAUUGUUUAUUGGGCAGUGUGCAAUUAUCUGGUUCAUUCAAGAUUUUUUUAAGGGAAAAAAAGAACUAUUGUACUACUGUAGCUUUAAACAGUGUACACUCAGACACAUGCAACACAUAUGAUUAGAGGUGGUUUGCUUUUCUGGACAUAAAUCUUGACCUUUCUUUAUAAUAAUGUUUUGGACCUGGUUGCACAGAGGUGAAAAGUGCAAUUGGGGAUG